rnacentral:lncRNA from 1 species
UGUCCGCCCACAUGUUUCCGCCUAACUUUAGUUGGCAAGGAAACAUAUUAAAAUCAGUUUCUGUAGUUGAAGCCGAAAGCCAAGACCGCAGUUAUCUCCUUGUAGAAAAGCUGAGGCACACCACUUACGAGCAACUUUCACUCAACUCUAACUUGUUGCUUAUGCAAAAGCUGAGGCACACCACUUUCGAGCAACUUUCACUCAACUCUAACUCUAUACUUCUCGCUUAUGCAAAAGCUGAGGCACACCACUUUCGAGCAACUUUCACUCAACUCUAACUUAUACUUCUCGCUUAUGCAAAAGCUGAGGCA